ensembl:antisense
GUCUGUCUCUGGUGGCGGCCGGGCGCGUACACACACGCACUCCCGGGGACUCUACAAGGGACCACCACCGGUUGGAAUGCAGGCCCGGCUGGAACGCCCGGCAACACGGACGCGGGGCUCAGAUCGCCGGGGCACAGGGUUUGAGGACUGUAAAACCCCUUUUUCUUUAAAGCCUCUUCUAAUAGUCGCCCAUCAUACUGAGGGUCCUGUGACCUGAAGCCAGCAUCCCGAGGAUCGCGGGAUCGCUGACGGGAUCUGGGGUCAGCACGUGGAUCCCUAGGCCUUAAAUCGUCAUAAUAGUGGGGAUCUCGGGAAUGUGGCAAGUCCCUAGGAUCUUCGGGGUCAUAGAGGUCAUCCCGGCUGCGACUUCUCGGAGGUGCAUAGGCCCGUCCUCUCCGCCCACUACUUGGGGGAGAAGACCGUCCUGAUUCAGUGGAGCCAGGCCGGUUGAUGUCAUCUAGAGCAUCCACAGAGCGGGCUCGAGGCCGCCCAGACCCCCAACCACCCCUUGGCGGUUCUUGAAGGGGUUCCUGCUCCCAUGUUCUGGGACUCCGAGGGGAGUGGCGAUUCCACUCCUCAUCCCUGAUGGGUGUGAGGGCAGGAGCCCUGGAAGGCCGAGAUCGCCAGUCAUCUUCAUGGAGGGAGGUUACUUCACUCAUGGCUGUAGAGAAGGGAGAUAUCACUGGUACUAAGACAGGUCCAAUCUUGUCACCCAUAUGCUCACACCCUCCCCUGGGAGCACCACAGGCAAGGAUUGUCUAUGCGAGCGUGUCUCAUCUCCCUUAGAUUCAGGUCUGCAGCUCACCUCGUUCCACUCGGCCAUUGGGAGGGCCAGGCCGGGAAGGAUCAAAGUUGGCUAGCUCCUUCUCCAUAUAGUAUAGGACCCUCAUGGAGUCAUCUUGCUGGUUAGCCUGGAUCCUGUAGCCACUUCGGACUUCUGAGGAGAGGAACAAGGCGAUUGGUUUGGGAGGGGAUGCGUGUGACUCAACCCUCCAGGCACAACCACUUCAAAACCACAGCAUCUUACCUGAAGAUAUACUGCCAUCCACUUCACGCAGCAGAGGCACCUGGGAGCUGUGGCCACCAACUAAUAGAGACCAGUUAUCAGUAAUGAUUGCCAUUUGGAGCAGAGUUAGGCACUCCCAAUCUCCCAUGCUCCCUUCCAGCCCAAGCCCACCUCGUGUCUGGAUUCCCCAGGGCCUCACCUGAGCUAGUCCUGUCAAAGUCUCCAGGGUAUCCAUAGGGAGGAUGCAUGGGGAUCAUGGCAGGUGGAGGUGGUGGGGUCUUGGCAGGAGAGAGGUGGGUAUAGAUGCUGGGGGCAUAGAUGCUUGGCACACCUGAGGUAGCUGCUUUACCAGCAGCAUAAACUGGGAAGGCAGAAUGGCAUGAGCAUGAUCAGAAGCUGUGCAGUCCCAUGCUGGAAUGGGAUUCUAGGGACAAGGUUCUUCCCUCUAUACCACCCCUGCAGUAGUCUAGGCUAGGGACACAGCCUUCACCAAGUCCCUACGUUCUAUCUGACUUCUCAUGGAGUUGAGAACAUCGGAGGCCCAAUCCAUAUAUGGUGGUUUGCCAACAGCUGACAAGAGAAAGAUUUCAUGUGAAAAUCCAGGGUAGUUGUCUUUCUGUCUAUGUUUCCGUACUAGGACUAGGUGUCUUCCCACUGAACUACAUUCCCAACUUCAGCCCCUUCCCCCCCUAAUUAUCUUGAGACAAGGCUGAGGAAGUACCCUAAACUCUGUAGCCAAGAUAAACCUUGAACUUGAGAUCCUCCUGCCUUAGCCGUCAUACAAACCAAGAAGGGCAGGUCUGUAUCUAAAGGCAUUAGUAGGCAAAGUCACUCUCUUUACAUAAAGCUGGGCCAGCUAUUGUCCCCAUAAGCUGGGGGCAGCCUAGCCUAUACUGUGGGAAAGUCAAGUCUGUUGGGUCCAUAACGUCCUGUCACCUCCCAGAUGUAGUAAGUGGAGUGAGGCAGAUCCAUGGAAGUUCCAGAAGUUACCUUGCCUACACCUUAGAGUAAUACAGUACCUUCCGGGUUUCUAAGUACUGGCCAUACUCACCCAGCUGAGUCUAGCAAGGGUGAACUGAUCUCAGGCUAGAGGCUGGGUAUUCUCACCAUCAUUACUAUUCACAUUCAUUGUGUGUGUGGAAGUCAGAAGAUCACUUGCAGAAAUUUGCUCUCCAUCCACCACAGGGGUCCUAGGGAUCAGGCUCCCGCUGCAGGCUUGGAGCUGCUGCCUUUACUAACUGAACCAACUAUCUUACCUACGACUUCCUGUGUGUGUGUGUGUGUGGGGGGGGGUGACAUGGAUAUUGAGUAUAGGUGCCUGUGGAGGCCAGAGGGAUAAGAUAGCCCUGAAGUGGGAAGUGCUGAACUGAGAAUCAAAUUCUGGCCCUUUUUAUGGGAGCAAGUGUUUUUUGUUUUUUAUACCACUGAGCUAUUUGUUUGCUUUUUCAAGACAUGGUUUCUCUGUGUUACAGCCCAGGCUUGUCCUGGAACUUGCUCUGUAGACCAGGCUAGCUUUGAACACACAGAGUGCCAGGGCCAAAGGUGUGCUCCACCACGCCCAGCUAAUCUCUCCAGUCUUGAAGGGCUCCAGAGUUUUAAGGCCAGCCAGCCUGAGUUAGGAAGACAGUCUUAAAAUAAGUAAAAAGAGGCCUGGGAUGUAGGUCAGUGGUAGAGUGCUUGCUAAGCAUGCUUGUUCAAUACAAAAGCUACUGGACUCUUCUUGGAAUGCUACAGGCUUCCUCUAAUUUGGGAGCAGAAAACUUAAGUGCUCAGCUCUCUCCAUGAAGAGUCCCUUCAUUAAUUGACAGGCUGGGUGAUAAUUAGCAGCAGGCUGAUACUUCCUAUAAGUCAGUAAGGAACUGGGGCAGAGAAUACAGGAAGAAACUCCCAUGGGGAAGUACUGGAUUCCUAGGUAUGUGACAAUGGAGUCUAGAUGGACCCAGCUCCAGUCUUAGUGCUCACAGCUCCUGGGGUUCCCUCCACAUCUAUAAAAUGGACCCACAGCCCAUGUUUACACAGUAAGAGCACGGAAGGCUUCUCCUUGAGAGUAGUGGUUCAAGCAUACAGCUUGGCCGCUUCAUCCUGGCACCUUCGCAGUUGUCUCUUAGUGUUUGGAAGCCAAGAAGUUGGGACCCAAAUAGAGAUGGGAGCUUGGCUUUCAGGUCACACACAGAGUGUACAACAGACCCCCCAACCUCUGUAUUGGCUCACAGCACUGUCCAAUGGGCAGGUGUGGAGCAUGUUAUGUGGGUCCCACCAAAUGUUAUCCACAUGCAAACCUCCAAGUUCCUGUUGUGCAGAGCUCUGCUGUAACCUCAUCAGCCUAUCAGGUACCUAGCUGGCCUCCAAGCCCCACUUGGCCCAUUCUCUUCUGUGGGCUAUGUACCAGGGUACACAGGUACCCAGACAGCCUCCCAGGGGAAAUUAAAGGGCACAGGGAGAUGGAAUUACCCAUUACCCCCUCUUCCACUGCUUUAUGUAUCUGCGUCUUCAUUCUGCCCAGUUUCCAUUUCCAGCCCUCCACAGGUAUCCACGUGGAUGUGAGGGAUACACCUAACACAGAGGCUCUGCAC